AUCGAACUGACGAGUCCCAAAUAGGACGAAACGCGCGUCCUCGAU
rnacentral:hammerhead_ribozyme from 1 species